CAACGAAUAUUCCGCAAUGGGCGAAAGCCUGACGGAGCGACGCCGCGUGAAGGAUGAAGUCCUUCGGGAUGUAAACUUCCAUAGUUUGUCAGGAAGUGAGGCGACCUAAUACGUCGCCGAGUUGACCAGCGAACGAAAGGGACGGCUAACUCCGUGCCAGCAGCCGCGGUAAGACGGAGGUCCCUAGCGUUGUUCGGAAUUACUGGGCUUAAAGCGCGUGUAGGCGGAACGGUGAGUACCGUGUGAAAUCCCCGGUCUCAAGCCGGGAACGGCUCGGGAUACUA
rnacentral:rRNA from 1 species